CGUCGCUGUAGUGGCUGCUGUUGGCAGGAGCUCUGUGCUCUUGUGUCAUCCUUUUGUGUUUCCUUCUUGUUUUCAUGUGUUAUUAUAUAUAUAUAUUUUUUAUUUUUUUUAUUUGCCUUUUGGUUCCGGACCCUUUGGGACUGUGUGACAAGGGGUGGCACUUUCGUGACUUCUGCUGUGCUUUUUUGUGGACUUCUGGAUCUGCCUCCCGGGGGCCUUUUGGCCAUGGAGACCAGCUGCUGGGUCUCUGCCACACCAGAGUCCGUUUGGAGAGACUGGAAGAGAUGCGGAUGAAGAGACAGGGCUGCGGAGCGCCGAAACGGACAGGCUUCACAGUGUCUUGGCUGAAUGAGCAGACGCUAUGAAGUGACCCAGCUGCUGCAAAGGACGAGUGUAGUGCUGGACAGUAAACGAGGAAAGUUUGGUCUGACAUGACUGGAACUAGUUUCUGAUCAGCAAGGCACAGGAUAACAACCAGUGGCAAGGUUCCAAGGACACAACCGACUCUCAUCAGCUGGGCAUGAUGGGGGUAGUGGUGGGCACCCCGGAAACCCAGGUGGGUGUGGCGACGAGCCCUGGACCCCUUCCUCCACCUAACCUCCAAACGCUCGUCCGGUCGCGCCCACGCCAGGCUGGGGUUGGUUCUUCUUAGGCUUGAUGCCGGAAGGUGGUUCCACCUUGGGGUUGGAGUGGGCUCCGAAGAUAGGGCGGGGGUGUUUGUUUGGCCCUCGGAGGGCAAAGAGGGGUUCUCUUUCAGGUCAGUCAGCUUGUUGAGAGGGUCCCAGCUGAGAAAAAAAGAACAACUGGUAUUAAAUUUGGAGUAGGAGGUAGACAGGUGGGAUGCAUGUAUAAAAUAACGAAAUGAAAAACAACAUCACAGUUGCAUUGCUGAGUAACUAAAGACUCUUACAAUGAGGUACCGGAGUUACCAAAUCAAUUACUUUUUGGGAAAAGUAAUUUGUAACUGCAACUGAUUACUUUUUUAAGGUAGGAUGACCAACACUGAUCUUAAGACAAAGCCUGUAGCUCUGCCAACUGUGAAUCAGUCAGCGACAAACAAGACAUUUGCUAUUUAGUUUUUUGUCACCAGAUAGGCUAAUAAUGUAAUUAUACGCUACUGUUGCUAACAAUUAAGUUCUCCCUGUACUCAUUAAUGUUACAUACAGACGUUUUCAUGACGCCAUAAAUAAAAACCUCCACCCCUUCACAAACAGGCUUCGCUACACAUUUUAAGAUCUUAAACUGUCUAGAUU